rnacentral:rRNA from 1 species
AUCAGUAGGGGAACUGAGAGGUUGAUCCCCCACACUGGCACUGAGAUACGGGCCAGACUCCUACGGGAGGCAGCAGUAGGGAAUAUUGGACAAUGGGUGCGAGCCUGAUCCAGCCAUGCCGCGUGCAGGAAGAAGGCCUUCUGGGUCGUAAACUGCUUUUGCCAGGGGAUAAAAUAGCUAUGCGUAGCGAAUUGAAGGUACCUGGUGAAUAAGCCACGGCUAACUACGUGCCAGCAGCCGCGGUAAUACGUAGGUGGCAAGCGUUGUCCGGAUUUAUUGGGUUUAAAGGGUGCGUAGGCGGUCUGAUAAGUCAGUGGUGAAAUACGGCAGCUCAACUGUCGAGGUGCCAUUGAUACUGUUAGACUUGAGUACUGAUGAGGUAGGCGGAAUGGACGGUGUAGCGGUGAAAUGCUUAGAGAUCGUCCAGAACACCGAUAGCGAAGGCAGCUUACUAAGGAGUAACUGACGCUGAGGCACGAAAGUGUGGGGAUCAAACAGGAUUAGAUACCCUGGUAGUC